rnacentral:rRNA from 1 species
UACAGAGGUGGCAAGCGUUGUUCGGAAUUACUGGGCGUAAAGGGCUCGUAGGCGGCCAACUAAGUCGGAUGUAAAAUCCCCAGGCUUAACCUGGGAACUGCAUCCGAUACUGGAUGGCUUGAAUCCGGGAGAGGGAUGCGGAAUUCCAGGUGUAGCGGUGAAAUGCGUAGAUAUCUGGAGGAACACCGGUGGCGAAGGCGGUCUCCUGGGGCAUUCUUGACGCUGAGGCGCGAAAGCUGGGGGAGCGAACGGG